rnacentral:rRNA from 1 species
UACGGAGGGUGCGAGCGUUGUCCGGAAUCACUGGGCGUAAAGGGCGCGUAGGCGGCAGGCCAAGCGUGCGGUGAAAGUCCGGGGCUCAACCCCGGAUCGGCCGUGCGGACUGGUUUGCUAGAGCACUGUAGAGGCGAGUGGAAUUCCUGGUGUAGCGGUGAAAUGCGCAGAUAUCAGGAGGAACACCGAUGGCGAAGGCAGGUCUCUGGGCAUUAACUGACGCUGAGGAGCGAAAGCAUGGGGAGCGAACAGG